CGGGGUGCACCAGGCGCGAAAACUUUACAAUGCUGGCAACAGCGAUAAGGGGACCUCGAGUGCCAGGAUACAAUCUUGGCUGUCGUGAUGCCUAAAAAGCAUUACAUAGCAAGGGCCGGGCAAGACCGGUGCCAGCCGCCGCGGUAACACCGGCGGCUCGAGUGGUAACCGCUAUUAUUGGGUCUAAAGGGUCUGUAGCCGGCCGGAUAAGUCUCUUGGGAAAUCCAGCAGCUCAACUGUUGGGCUUCCAGGGGAUACUGUUCGGCUCGAGGCCGGGAGAGGUGAGAGGUACUUCAGGGGUAGGGGUGAAAUCUUGUAAUCCUUGAAGGACCACCAGUGGCGAAGGCGUCUCACCAGAACGGUCCUGACGGCAAGGGACGAAAGCUAGGGGCACGAACCGGAUUAGAUACCCGGGUAGUCCUAGCCGUAAACGAUACUCGCUAGGUGUCAGCCACGGUGCGACCGUGGUUGGUGCCGUAGGGAAGCCGUGAAGCGAGCCACCUGGGAAGUACGGCCGCAAGGCUGAAACUUAAAGGAAUUGGCG
rnacentral:rRNA from 1 species